rnacentral:misc_RNA from 1 species
GAUGAAGAACGUAGCGAAAUGCGAUAAGUAGUGUGAAUUGCAGAAUUCAGUGAAUCAUCGAAUCUUUGAACGCACAUUGCGCCCUUUGGUAUUCCAAAGGGCAUGCCUGUUCGAGCGUCAUUUGUACCCUCAAGCUUUGCUUGGUGUUGGGCGUCUUGUCUCUAGCUUUGCUGGAGACUCGCCUUAAAGUAAUUGGCAGCCGGCCUACUGGUUUCGGAGCGCAGCACAAGUCGCACUCUCUAUCAGCAAAGGUCUAGCAUCCAUUAAGCCUUUUUUUCAACUUUUGUCCUCGGAUCAGGUAGGGAUACCCGCUGAACUUAAGCAUAUCAAUAAGCGGGGA